UGCGUAGGCGGCCAAAUUAGUCAGGGGUGAAAGCUCGCAGCUCAACUGCGGAAUUGCCUUUGAUACUGUUUGGCUUGAAUCAGGAUGAGGUCAGCGGAAUGUGGCAUGUAGCGGUGAAAUGCAUAGAUGUGCCAUAGAACACCAAUUGCGAAGGCAGCUGACUAGACCUGCAUUGACGCUGAGGCACGAAAGCGUGGGGAGCGAACAGGAUUAGAUACCCUGGUAGUCC
rnacentral:rRNA from 1 species